AUUAAUUUUCAUGCUUAGCGAAGCGGAGUCGGCGUUGUUGGAUGCUUCCAUAUGCCUGCAUGCCUCGGCAUUGUGGGGUGUGGGAUGUGUUCCGCGAUGUUGGUUUUUGCAGACGCGAGGGCAUGUGAGUGGUAGCGUGGAUGUUUGUGUUUGCUGGCUCAAUGCUUUGGCUUUGAACGGUUUGCAUAUGAUCCUGAUCAUUUUUCAUUGUUGACUUUGUGUCUUCGAUGUUUGUCCGUUGUUGC
rnacentral:lncRNA from 1 species